GAUGAACGCUAGCGGCAGGCUUAAUACAUGCAAGUCGAGGGGCAGCAUGAUUGUAGCAAUACAAUUGAUGGCGACCGGCAAACGGGUGCGGAACACGUACACAACCUUCCAACAAGUGGGGGAUAGCCCAGAGAAAUUUGGAUUAAUACCCCGUAACAUAGCGAUGUGGCAUCACAUUGCUAUUAUAGCUUCGGCGCUUGUUGAUGGGUGUGCGGCUGAUUAGAUAGUUGGCGGGGUAACGGCCCACCAAGUCUACGAUCAGUAGCUGAUGUGAGAGCAUGAUCAGCCACACGGGCACUGAGACACGGGCCCGACUCCUACGGGAGGCAGCAGUAAGGAAUAUUGGACAAUGGACGCAAGUCUGAUCCAGCCAUGCCGCGUGAAGGAUUAAGGUCCUCUGGAUUGUAAACUUCUUUUAUAAGGGACGAAAAAAGGUCUUUCUAGAUCGUCUGACGGUACCUUAUGAAUAAGCACCGGCUAACUCCGUGCCAGCAGCCGCCGUAAUAC
rnacentral:rRNA from 1 species